rnacentral:lncRNA from 1 species
CAACAACCAUCGUUGACGGGUCCGACAUUUACUGCUAAACACUGAGCGAGUGAAAAUGGCUGCCAUGCUUGUUAAGUCUCUCGCCAUUUGCCUCGUUUUAGGCAUCUUGAGCAGCCCAACGACAGUUCAAGGCUGGAAAUCCAAGUGGUGCAAAACGGAUGCUCACUGCUCGCGAUAUGCUCCCUACUGCGGGGAGGGCAAAUGUCGCCCGGUGACAAAAUUCUGCAGAUCGGACGAAAAGGGUGUGGCCGCGUGUAACGCAUGCCACUGCGAGGGCCAUCACUGGAGCUGUACGGAAAUUGGCUGCGCGAAAAAUUUCAACCAUGAUGGAGCAGUACCGUGUCGGCUGGCAAGGGACCUGUCGGGAUGCCGCCAUUGAUCCUCAUUACCGCUUCGGCAACUACAACUGGAAUUGCAAGACAACAGCCAAAGCUUUCGGAAGCAACUUUAAAAUCGUUCAUGCACUCUCUUAUUUUCGAGGACUAUGAGCACAAAAAUGCAAUAUACCCUGGGGAACGCGUGCACCAAGGGCCAUUGAACAGGAUAAAAAGCACUAAUACUUUUGAUACACUCCAAAAGUUGUGUUAACGAUCUGGUCUAAGCGGUUAGGUGCAAACAUCUGCGAGGACUCGGAACAUGGUUUGAUU